UCCACGCCGUAAACGAUGGAUACUAGCUGUCCGGGGCCUUGAGUCCUGGGCGGCCAAGCGAAAGUGAUAAGUAUCCCACCUGGGGAGUACGUUCGCAAGAAUGAAACUCAAAGGAAUUGACGGGGGCCCGCACAAGCGGUGGAGCAUGUGGUUUAAUUCGAUGAUACGCGAGGAACCUUACCAGGGCUUAAAUGCAUAUUGACAGGGGUAAGAUACCUUUCC
rnacentral:rRNA from 1 species